rnacentral:lncRNA from 1 species
CUGCGAGACGCCGCGGCCUGACUCGCGGGUCCGGAAGCGCCAUGGACCCCCGGGGAACGCGCUCGCGGGGCAGCGGCCGAGCCCUAUCUAGAUGUGGAGGAAAUGGAGGACUCAGAACCAAGGAUUUCCAAGUGAUUUCUUCCAAAGCUCAAGACACUAACUCUGUUAAAGCUGGUCUGUUCUAACUGAGGUAAUCGAAUAUACAUCUUUUGUUCUCUACUUGAAAUAGGCGAUGUUUUUUUCUAAGGGGCUAAACCGCUCCCG